rnacentral:rRNA from 1 species
CAUUAGCCGCGGGAAAACGGAGGGGGCUAGCGUUGUUCGGAAUUACUGGGCGUAAAGCGCACGUAGGCUGCUUUGUAAGUCAGAGGUGAAAGCCCGGGGCUCAACCCCGGAUGUGCCUUUGAGACUGCAGAGCUAGAAUCGCGGAGAGGUGAGUGGAAUUCCGAGUGUAGAGGUGAAAUUCGUAGAUAUUCGGAAGAACACCAGUGGCGAAGGCGGCUCACUGGACGACUGUUGACGCUGAGGUGCGAAAGCGUGGGGAGCAUACAGGAUUAGAUACCCGGGUAGUCCCUGUCUCUUAUAC